rnacentral:lncRNA from 1 species
UACCUAGUAGUCGGUAGUUGUAAACCCUAUAUUUCUCCCCUCUCAGAGUUAUCCUUUGUUGUUCAUCCUAGUUGAUGACGGUUACUUUUCCGUGGUUUUCUACCCAGUAUCUGGUAGAUGUAAUCCCCUCUUUGGUGGUUAUCUUCAUCCAGUAUUCGGUAUUGAUUUUCCCUCCUUCUUGUGGUUAAUUGCUCUGAGUAAGCAAU